GUCGGGAGUUAGGAAAUGUAAGUGUGCUAAUACCACAUUUAUUUGACGAAGGCUCCAAAGGAAGCCACGGCUAACUCUGUGCCAGCAGCCGCGGUAAUACAGAGGUGGCAAGCGUUGUUCUGAAUUAUUGGGCGUAAAGAGCACGUAGGUGGGUUUGUAAGUCAGAUGUGAAAGCCUUCUGUUCAACGGAAGAAUUGCAUCUGAAACUGCGAAUCUUGAGUGUAGGAGGGGAGAGUGGAACUUCUGGU
rnacentral:rRNA from 1 species